AUUGAACGCUGGCGGCAGGCUUAACACAUGCAAGUCGAGCGGGGUGAUGGUGCUUGCACUAUCACUUAGCGGCGGACGGGUGAGUAAUGCUUAGGAAUCUGCCUAUUAGUGGGGGACAACAUCUCGAAAGGGAUGCUAAUACCGCAUACGUCCUACGGGAGAAAGCAGGGGAUCACUUGUGACCUUGCGCUAAUAGAUGAGCCUAAGUCGGAUUAGCGAGUUGUCGGGGUAAAGGCCUACCAAGGCGACGAUCUGUAGCGGGUCUGAGAGGAUGAUCCGCCACACUGGGACUGAGACACGGCCCAGACUCCUACGGGAGGCAGCAGUGGGGAAUAUUGGACAAUGGGGGGAACCCUGAUCCAGCCAUGCCGCGUGUAUGAAGAAGGCCUUAUGGUUGUAAAGCACUUUAAGCGAGGAGGAGGCUCUUUUGGUUAAUACCCAAGAUGAGUGGACGUUACUCGCAGAAUAAGCACCGGCUAACUCUGUGCCAGCCGCCGCGGUAA
rnacentral:rRNA from 1 species